rnacentral:siRNA from 1 species
AUCGGUCAUCUCUUCUCUCUCCUU